UACAAUUGUAUUUCAUACAUUUGUUUUUAUUUCUUUCUAAUGUAUAUUUCUUUUUUGGUCAUUUAAAAUUUUGUACAUAGCAAAAAAAAAGAACUCAAAUGAAAAAGACAAAACAAAAAUGGAGUGCACAAGAAAUAACAAUAAAAUAGUUUACUCUUCUCUGGUGGAUUGUCAUGCACAGAGGACCAGCAUGUCAUGUUCUUUCCUUCUUCCUUACACUGUAUAUCUCUUUCAAUUACUCUCUCUCUCUCUUCUUCCUUACACUGUAUAUCUCUUUCAAUUACUCUCUCUCUCUUCCGAAGGCAUGUCCAGUCCUCUUUCCUCUAAGCACCAAAUACACUCCAACACAAUAUUGUUCAGCACCAUUGUGUCCCCAGCGAGUACUGUACCUUAAUGGUCCUGUUCUCCUUAUGAAGCUGUGUGGACACCAAAAGCCAUCAACGCUACCCGACUAGCUGAGCUUCAUGAAGAAGUUUCGCCAUGAAUUUGCUUUAUUUUCUACGGAUGUGGCAUUGACAUGCUUGAUUUAGCUAAUCAUGUAACUGCUCUGGCUUGUCACACUGGAACGUUCAGAGAUAUGAACAUUCCAAUUGGUUUUCGCCCAACCGCAUCUUAGCUCGUUGCCAUAAUAUUAGCAUCUUAGCUCGUUGCCAUAAUAUUAGCUGACUUCAAUCGCUCAGGUCGCUUCACUCCGGGCGAAUUCGCUCUGGUCGAUUUCUUCACUGACCCUAUAUAGAGAAAUAAUGACUUCUGUGGUUCAGGUAGCGUAGCCUAGGUUGCUCUUGGUGUACACAUAGCUCAGGUAGCGUAGCCUAGGUUGCUCUUGGUGUAGUGUACACAUAGCUCAGGUAGCGUAGCCUAGGUGGCUCUUGGUGUACACAUAGCUCAGGUAGCGUAGCCUAGGUUGCUCUUGGUGUACACAUAGCUCAGGUAGCGUAGCCUAGGUGGCUCUUGGUGUAGUGUACACAUAGCUCAGGUAGCGUAGCCUAGGUGGCUCUUGGUGUACACAUAUAGCUCAGGUAGCGUAGCCUAGGUGGCUCUUGGUGUAGUGUACACAUAGCUCAGGUAGCGUAGCCUAGGUGGCUCUUGGUGUAGUGUACACAUAGCUCAGGUAGCGUAGCCUAGGUUGCUCUUGGUGUGGUGUACACAUAUAGCUCAGGUAGCGUAGCCUAGGUGGCUCUUGGUGUACACAUACAGUAGCUUAAGACUAACACUGCGGUAUGGAAGCUCGCAGGUUG